AGCAAACCACCACGGCACAUGUACACCUAUGUAACAAGCCUGCACAUUCUGCACAUGUAUCCCAGAACUUAAAUUAAAAAAAAAAAAGAUCAACUUGCCUAUGGUCACACAGUUUGAAUUAUCAUAUCUGCUGAUUCCUAGCUCAGUGCCCUUUCCACAGGAAAUAUUGCAGCUCCAUCUUGUGUACUUGAAAUGAUUUGAUGCCAGAAGACACAGCUUUGAUAGAUCAGUCCAUAAGAAAGGUGCUUGUUGGUGGUGGUGGGGCAAGGGACUAAUUGGCAGGCUUGGUCAUAUCCUUGAAUGUGGAUACUUAAAUAGUGGGCCAGUUCUACAGCUGAAGAAUCUGAAAAAGGGAUAGGCUAGCAUAAGGAAUGAGAAACCAACUUCUUACAGAGAAAUCUUUCUGAAGCUUUCUAUUAACAUUUAUGCUAAUAGGCAUUUCUAACAUUUUUGAUAUCUUUUCAUAAUCUCAUAUACAGUCCAAUGGAUAGCAUUCACUAUAUGCCUUAUUUAUAAUUCUGCAGGAGCUGUCACUAAGAUGUUGAAUAUAUUUCAUUUCCUGAAGCCCAUUCAAAGCUUGACCUUUUCCAAGAUUCCAAUCAAGGAGCAUAGCUGUAUGAACUAAAUCUAUGUACUUUGAAUUUAGCCCCAUUCCUAACAAGUGGCGUUUGUUUCAUUUGGACAGUCACCAGUCAUUCUAGCAAGUUUUAGGUCCCACUGGCCUCUUGAAACCAGAAUCCCUUAGAUACUUGUUUUAACUGUGGACAGAAGAUGUUGUAACUACUCAGGGAAUUCUUUAAUAUUUAGUAUCAUAAUUGACUUGUGUGCCACUUUUCAUGUGAAAUUGAGUGACUGUACCUCAAAACUGAAUAGAGAAUUUAUUCACGACUAAAUUUUCUUGGUUUUUUAAGCUUCAUUUUCAGGAAAUGCUUUUAGCUUUCUAUUUGGCCUAAACUUUGUUGUAUGUUUCCAUUAAAAUUUUUUAAUUUAUGGAAAAGAUAUAAUAAAUAAUAUUUACUUGAUUUUAACUUCUUGGUGCAAUUUAAAUAAAUAAUCUGAUGAUGAAGCCAAAUGUAUAACUCCAUCUCUGCCCUCUAAACUUUUGUUACAGAACUAAUGGGAAGUUGUUGGAAUCAAGAAAUGAUUAGCUUAAUCUUUAAUCUUUGGUUAAAGAUUACCAUUUGGUUUGAUUUAAAUACUUACGUAUGUAACAACAUUUUGUUUGAUUUAAAUACUUAUGAAGUUGGAAUUUGUUUUUUCAAAAAUGUCUCGGUGUUUGUAAAUUAGUGUUGUUGAUUCUAUAGGAAUGAACAUUUCAUUUAAAUAUGUAAAGG
rnacentral:lncRNA from 1 species